CUUCAGGCCAGACUGGAUGAUGCUUCUGGCCAGCAGAGCUUGGAUAAGAGUGGUUACUGCAGCCAUGGCCUGGAGGAGGUGGGAGGAAAGGCGGCUCAUCGGAUCUGGAUGGCAGAGAGGCACCUAGCACAUCCCCAAAGCCUCUCUGGGUGUCUGCCAUCACUGGGAGCCCUGAGCCCCCCUGCCACCAGACCCAAGGACAGUAUUGUGUCCUGCCCUGAGGGGCUUGUCUCUCUCUCUGUGGGUCAGAAACCUUCCCGGCAUCUGACCUUUCCUCCCUCUGUCCAGCCCAGCCUUCCCUCUGCACGUGCACUAGUCACCUGAGUCCAACUCUGGUGGGUCUGGGGCUGCCUGCUGAUGCUCUUGGUGACAGCUCCCAUUGUGACACAUCCUCCAUGAUGUUACAGCCACCAGAGCUGCAUCACUCAGCCAGUGUCCCAGGCUUUGUCGCCACCACCCAGCUCAGCGAGUCCUGGCCAUUACAACAAGUGCAAACCCCACCUGCAGAAGUGAGCUCCCAGGGACUUGCUUGACAAAGAGACUCUCCCUUCAAAGCCAUAACUUAAAUGAAAAUGGGAACUGCAGGUGGAUGUCUCUGACCUAGGUAGAGAGGUGCAAUGUCUUCUGGGCCAGGUGGUCUGACUCCAAGUAACCUUGCAAAGCCUUACCUUACAAGCCCUUGGGCAGAGACAACUCUCCUCCCUCUCAUCCUCUUGGCUUCCUUCUGCUGGGGCCGGGCUUGGCCCUGCAAACCCUGGCAAUCAAGCCAAAUGCCACUUAUGUCCCUGGUGCAAGUGGAGAAGAUCCUGUGGCUCCUAUCUCUAGCUAACUUGCCUGCAAGGGCAAGCAAGUGGGCUGGAGGGGCUAUGCUGGGACUUGCAUUUCUCCGCUCCCCUGAGGUUUCCCCAGUUCAGGAGAGCCACCUGUACACCCUGCUGUGGAUCGUGCCUCUCAGAAAUGUGGUCUGUACUGCAUGAGUGCACACCCUGAGACACAGACAGCUCAAAAGCUUUCUCUAGCCUUGCUGCCUGUGCACCAAGACUAACGCGGGAGCCACAUUUCUGUCAGUUCCGCAUGUAGAGAACCGUAUGCCCAAUGCACCUCCUGUCCAAAGCCUUCUGGAGGUAAAAAGAGGGAGGGCUUGGUAAGUUCAAGCAUGCCCUGAAGUCCCUUUCUGUGUCGAGUCUCUCUUGUCAAGGUGGUGGAAACUUGAAGUCCCAAGUGGAGGGAAUAUGGAAUAAGAAUCAUUGUGGUUGGCAGAGACCUCUAAGAUCAUCCAUUAAUCCAGCACUGCCAAACCCACCACAAAACCAUGUCCCUGCGCAACAUAUCUAAACAUCUUUUAAAUCCCUGAAGGGAUGGUGACUCCACCGCUGCACUGGGCAGCUUGUUUGGAUUCUUGACAACCCUUUCAAGAAAGAAAUUUUUCCUAAUAUCCAACUUAAACUUCUCCUGGCACAACUUGAGGCUAUGUCCUCUUGUCCUAUUGUUUGUUACCUGGGAGAAGAGACUAACCCCUGGCUACAACCUCUUGGCUGGACUUACUAGCAAGGCUUUAAAGAAAAAGGGAUGUACUUCUGACUGUCAGAGAGGAAACAUCAAGCCUUUAGAAAGCAGACUGUAAGUAAAUAGUCUCAAAGCAAUUAGGGAGGGCUCUUCCCAAAAGGUAAGGAGGCCAGUAGGCUGAAGUGCCUCUACACCAAUGCACACCGCAUGGGAAACAAGCAAGAGGAGCUGGAAAUGAUGGUGCAAUUGGAAAACUAGGAACUAAUUGCUUUUACAGAAAGAUGGUGGGAUGAGUUGCACAACUGGAACACUGAAGUUGAGGGCUAUGAACUUUCCAGAGGGGCUGUGCUGCUGGGUGCUGCUGGUGUUAGUGGACCCAGACCCACUGCACGCUGGCCACUCCCCUCACCACAUGGCUUUCCAGGUGUCCCUUGUUCCCCACAGCUGGAGCCAGCUCACCUCGGAGCAGCAGGUUCCUAGAGAUGUACAUCUGUGUCCCUGGCUGCUGCAUCCCAUCAUCUCCACAGGGGUGCCUGCCUGCAGACCAGCCUGUAAGGCACACCAGUGCAGAGAGCAACAGGGUUUGGCCUUUUUCCUUCACUUGGCUUGCUAAUUUAAGGGUGAUUGGUUUUUUCUACCCCUUCCUGCAGAACUGAUGCUCAUGAGAAUUCAGUAAAAGCGGUGAAGCCACAUGGAGGGCCUUGCAGUGGUGCCUGGCUCCCCUCCUGUCAGCAGAGGAGCCUUGUCCCAGGUUCCUGCUCACACUGGGCACAUGAACUGGUGGGCAGUUUGGAUUUUCAGCUUAUUUCUGGAUUUUACCACUAGUAGUUAAUUUAAGAGAAAUUUAAAAAAAAUCAAUGCAGCCAAGGCUAAAGUUCAAGAGAGGGAUGCCUGCAGCUGCCAGUGCUCUCAGGUACAGCAGCAGGAGGGGACAUCUUCACUGCUCACAGGGGAAGGCUAAAAAAAAAAUAAAUCUAAUUACUUUUCUGUCCCUCAACCACCCAGUUAACUCCCCUUGCCUUCCGCUUGUUCCUUGCAGUCUAAUUAAAUUUCCUCGGAUGGCCAUGUUUCAGGACAGAAGGCUGAUGUGGGGGGUGUGCAGAUCUCCCAGGCCUUGGCUAGCUGCGGGGAAGGAGCAUGCAUUUGUGCACCCCCAUGCUCCCAGCUUCCAGACUCUGUUCCUGGCUGCUUUGUACAGUGGGACAGAGACAUAACCAAGGGCACAUUGCAAUCUCCACCGCAGGUUAGGAGAUAAGCAGCCCUCUCUUAAUGAGGACAUGAUAUACCUGGCAAGACUUUACCCCUUGUGGGGAACAACAGGCUCUUUCACUCUGGGCCCUGGCACAUCCAGGAGCGGUCGUGGGACACAGGGAACAGCAGCUGAUAAAUCAGCUCAGCACUACCAGCCAUAGGAAGCCCAAGCUGAUGGGGCAGCCCCACAUCAGCUGUUAUUAGGAAGCCCUGGAAUGUCCCACGUUGGAUUGCAACAACAGUUGCAGCAAGACCACAAUUCUGGAGAGCUACGGCUUUGCUAAAAUUGGCUUUUCCAGAAGGCAAAUGGGGAUGGCAGCUCUCCAGCACCAGAGGGAAAGCUGCAUUUCUGCCUCCAGUAUCUGCCGAGGGAGGCCCAUCCCGGAGGGAAAGGGCAGCAUUACCAUACUGAGAGACCUCUAUCUGCUGCUUGUGAGGUAAAAUCCCCGCUGAAAGGAGCCAAAUUGUUACUGUGCAUAUCUAAAGGCACUGAAUUAUUAAGGAGAAGUGAUCUCUUAAGGCUGCAGGUGGAGCAGAGAGCUUUACAGACGGCUGAUAUUAAGUGUAAUGGACCUCUAAUGGAAAACCACCUUAUUGCUGCAGGAUGGUUUCUCAGCUGCGGAGCAAAACAAAGCAGCUGGAGUGAAUGUGGUACAGACCAUUAUUGCCCUGGGAAUUACUGGGUUUGAUAGUCCUUUACAGCUUUUUGGAGUAUUGCAGUAAGCAUGUGGUGGAGAGAUACUCCCUUCUACCCCAUUCUCUGAGAAUAUCCACAAUCCAGCAUUUACUUUUUCUGGAUGAGCCCAAAACAGCCUUUCUGGGCUUCCACGUGAUUAAGGUCAUAUAAGAGCUAGCUGUUGUUUCCAAGCCUCCCGAAUUUGCCAAAAUUAGGCUGGAUUUGUGGAAACUGGCUUCCUAAGACCUCGGGCACUUCCGGCUUUGAAUACCAGGCCAAAACCAACACAGCAGUGCUUGCUCUCCCAAAUUUUAAUAUGACUGCUUUAGUCCCAAAUGGAGCCACAAAUUACAAAGUUUGUUUAUCUGAGUGUUAGAGAGGAACCAGGAAACACCAACACUUUACGAAGCAGCAGGGAAAUAUUGUAAACCGUCCCAAAAGAAUUAGAGAGGGCUCCUCCCAUAAGGUGAGGAGGUUGAUAGCCCAGCGGAAGUGUCUCUACACCAGUGCACGCAGCAUGGUAAACAAGCAAGAGGAGCUGGAGACCUUGGAAAAGUAUGAGCAAUUGCUGUCACAGAAACAUGGUGGGACGAUUCGCACAACUGCGACACUGCAAUUGAGGGCUAAGAGCUUUCCAGAAGAGAUGGGAAGGAGGGAGGGUUGUUGUGCUCUAGGUUAAGGAAUGGAUGGAUUGUGGAAAGCUGCCUCUGAGAAACAGCCGUGAACAGGUUGGGAGCUUGUGGGUGAAAAUCGAGGACUGGACCAACAAAGGAUACCUUGUGGUCGGGGUCUGCUCCAGGUGCCUGACUGGGGGAGCCUGCUGAUGAGGCCUCUUGCUUCAUCUACAGAAGCAUCACACUCACAUGCUUUCAUCCAGAUGGAGAAUUUCAACCAUCCAGACAUCUAGUGGAAAAGCAAUACAGAUGGCUGAGAGCAAUCCAGGAGAUUCCUGGAGUGCAUAGAGGACAAUUCCCUGGUCCAGGUAGUGGACAAACCACCCAGAGGAGAAGUAUUGCUGGACCUGGUGCUCACAUAUGCAGGCUUUGAGAAGUACUAUCUAAUAUGAAAACCCUAGAAGUGAUUUACAAAAAACUAUGAUGGUUUAUACAAGUUUGAUGUACUAAACAGGUCAAAUUGAA